CAGUAGCCGCGGUAAUACAGAGGGUGCGAGCGUUAAUCGGAUUUACUGGGCGUAAAGCGUGCGUAGGCGGCUUCUUAAGUCGGAUGUGAAAUCCCUGAGCUUAACUUAGGAAUUGCAUUCGAUACUGGGAAGCUAGAGUAUGGGAGAGGAUGGUAGAAUUCCAGGUGUAGCGGUGAAAUGCGUAGAGAUCUGGAGGAAUACCGAUGGCGAAGGCAGCCAUCUGGCCUAAUACUGACGCUGAGGUGCGAAAGCGUGGGGAGCAAACAGGAUUAGAGACCCCCGUAGUCCCUGUCUCUUAUAA
rnacentral:rRNA from 1 species